AUGGCUCAGGAUAAACGCUGGCGGCGUGCUUAACACAUGCAAGUCGAACGGAGUAAUCCUCCCGAAGACCUGACGAGCUUGCUCUGAUGGAAUCAUUGGAUACUAGUGGCGGACGGGUGAGUAACGCGUGGGAAACCUGCCCUAUACUGGGGGAUAACAGUUGGAAACGACUGAUAAUACCGCAUAAGCGCACAGCACCGCAUGGUGCAGUGUGAAAAAACUCCGGUGGUAUAGGAUGGUCCCGCGUCUGAUUAGCUAGUUGGUGAGGUAACGGCCCACCAAGGCGACGAUCAGUAGCCGGCCUGAGAGGGUGUACGGCCACAUUGGGACUGAGACACGGCCCAAACUCCUACGGGAGGCAGCAGUGGGGAAUAUUGGACAAUGGGGGAAACCCUGAUCCAGCGACGCCCGCGUGAGUGAAGAAGUAUCUCGGUAUGUAAAGCUCUAUCAGCAGGGAAGAUAAUGACGGUACCUGACUAAGAGGCACCGGCUAAAUACGUGCCAGCCGCUGC
rnacentral:rRNA from 1 species